UGAGCAAUCUGCCCUUCACAUCGGAAUAACCAUUGGAAACGAUGGCUAAUACCGAAUAUGACUUCGGAUCGCAUGAUCUGAAGUGGAAAGCUCCGGCGAUGAAGGAUGAACUCGCGGCCUAUCAGCUUGUUGGUGAGGUAAUAGCUCACCAAGGCGACGACGGGUAGCCGGCCUGAGGAGGGUGACCGGCCACACUGGGACUGAGACACGGCCCAGACUCCG
rnacentral:rRNA from 1 species